GAUGAACGCUGGCGGCGUGCCUAACACAUGCAAGUCGAACGAAGCACUUUAAAUAGAUUUCUUCGGAAUGAAGUUUUUUGUGACUUAGUGGCGGACGGGUGAGUAACGCGUGGGUAACCUGCCCAGUACUGGGGGACAACAGUUGGAAACGACUGCUAAUACCGCAUAAGCCUACGGUGUCGCAUGACGGAGUAGGAAAAAUUCCGGUGGUACUGGAUGGGCCCGCGUCUGAUUAGCUAGUUGGUAAGGUAUUGGCUUACCAAGGCGACGAUCAGUAGCCGGCUUGAGAGAGUGAACGGCCACAUUGGGACUGAGACACGGCCCAAACUCCUACGGGAGGCAGCAGUGGGGAAUAUUGCACAAUGGGGAAACCCUGAUGCAGCAACGCCGCGUGAGUGAAGAAGUAUUUCGGUAUGUAAAGCUCUAUCAGCAGGGAAGAUAAUGACGGUACCUGACUAAGAAGCACCGGCUAAAUACGUGCCAGCCGCCGCCGUAA
rnacentral:rRNA from 1 species